CUUUUGACUCGGUUUUACCAGAACAGCGAUGCCCCCUUCUCCGCAUUUUCAGUUAAAAAGGCACGCCGAAAGUGAAGGAGAAAGGCGGUCACUUGCGCCCUCGACUUUUCCCUUGCUUGCUGUGAGUCUCGGCUGCUCUCGGGCGAGUCUUUGCUCCUGUUGUCUUCCGCUGCUGGUCGCCCGUCUGUCUUUGUCGUUCUUGUGUCCUUUGGCGUCCGAGAUUUGCCUUAGCUUGCCUUAGCCCAACUACCACGCAACACAAAAGCAAAGGAAACCUUUUUCGCGUGCCUCCUGCCAGCGCAUGUUUGUCUCGCCCACACCGCUCUCGGGUCAAGGAGUGUCCUCACCCUUGCUUGCCCUACACUUGCAUAUACUUGUACGAAGAUACAUUGAAAUUUGUGCACGUACGUACAGCUGUAACGAAAUAAAUGUCGCUAUAUGCAUUUUCGCAAUAAAAGGUCGCAGCCAGAUCGCUGCUGUCAGUAGACGUGUGGAUGAUUUUUCCUUUUGAGGAGGCAGUUUCACCUGCCCAGUGUUUGUCAAAAAAUCCCGUUUGUUUUGCUUCGAAAGCAAGGAUCACGCAUCUGUGAUCAUGUUUCAGUCUUCAUUCGGAGGCACCCAGCAAGCAGUGCACACUGUCGAAGAACAGCCGUGCCACUUUCGCGUUUUAGGAAUGGAUUCGAGUCGCCUUCGAUGCGCAGGAUAUUCGCCGUAACGAACGAUUGAUUUCGGUCCGGCUUUGGUUCAAGUUUCGGAGUAACAAGGAGGCACUGCAGCGCAUGCGUCGAGAGACGCGAUUCUCUAGAGAAGGCCUCGGACUGGUGCCUGCAGAGCUUCACAUGUUAGGCGACAGAGAAAACGAUUUUAGAGGUAGAAUUACCGUCGCCUGACAUCCACCAUGUCUGCCAAUUGCUAGUUUGAAAUGCGUGUGCACUCGUACGACUCCAAGCCUAAAUAUUUAGGAUGUCGUUUCUCUUGCCAGUUCUCAACCAGAACGGGGUAAUUUACACGUUUGGUACCUUCCGUAGACGCGGUAGCCGCUUCUUAGGUUCCCUCCCAGGAACUGGACCCCCUAAGUCCCCCUUAAACCGUGCCGGCUCCAUUGGCAGCAGCGUAGCGAAGAGGUUACGCAGCAUGAUUCGAUCUCUUCACUACGCACACGUUGAUAAAGCUGUGCACGCGAUCGCACGCUCUUCAAGUGUAAGACUGCCUGCUUUCCCCUUCGAAGAUUUUAACCGUAUUUCCCUUCGUCGUGAGCCUUCAUGUUGGACGGCGGCGUCUUGAUUGGCUCGGUGCUGGGCCUGUGCUGCGGCGUCGUCCUGCUCGUUCUGAUUUUGUUCACGUGCGUGGGGCGGAUGGUCUGCGGCGUGUGUUUCUGUUGCCUGUGCUGGCCUUGCAGAUGCUUGUGUGGAAACAAAGAGGACGCGUGUGUGUGUGAACCAAUCGAUCCGAUUGCAUGCUGCUGUCGAGGCAAACAGACCUCAGAGGCUGGAAGCAGCAUCAUGGACGAACCGGGGGUGGAUCUUGAGCAGAUGAUUCAAUCCUGAAUCUGCCUGCGGUUAUCAUCGAUGCAGCAGUACAGUUAUCGCCUCUUCUAAAAGCACAAAUAUCCGUGAAUCUUCUCUAUAUGCAAGUGCUGGUAUUCUAGACCCAAUGCUUCAAUCAUUCUUCGGGACGGAGCCAUGUAGGACACGCCCGUGGCUCUGAAUGCCUCUGUUUCUGCAUUAAAAGCGCACGAGUUGGACAGAGGGGACACGGCACCGGCGCGCUGCAGCCGGUGUCAUUCUUCUGUGUUGUUUUUCGGUUCCUAUGUAGGCGCAUGCAUUCGAGAAAGUGGGGAAAUUCGAAAGUGUCAGGUCGCCACCGGGUGGUGAAGUAGGCGUACAUUGUGCAGUGCUGCCGCCACGCCUUCUGUCGGCGUAGGAAACUCGCUUUGUCUCGUCUGUCCGCUGUUGAGACGCCAACCUACGUUCUUUCAACACCCCUGCUCGAC
rnacentral:lncRNA from 1 species